rnacentral:SRP_RNA from 1 species
CCGGGAGUCGGGUGGACGUUUGCGUUCGCUCACCGGGUCAGGUCCGGAAGGAAGCAGCCCAGGUGGAUUGCGGCGGGUCGCUCGCUGCCUUUUCCCU